GAAGAAAGCAGUGCAUCUUGUUUCUCUCCAAUAUGGCAUUAGAAGAGUUAAUUUGACAGGUUAGGGAGUCUCUUUGGCAUCUCAUGUCUAAAGGGCAUCUACACUUGAUUCCACCUAGGGCAGAUUUGCUUUGUUUUGUGUCAUUAUGAAUUGUGCCAUCUUGUAAGUAUCAAAUUGGCAUAUUAUGGCAUAAUGCCCAAAAAAUUAAGAAUUAAAAUCAGCGUCAGGUUCUAGUGAAUCGAACACAAUCCUGUUCUGUCUUUGUUUCCAUUGUUAUGUGC